rnacentral:tRNA from 2 species
GUCGGCAUAGCUCAGCUGGAUAGAGCAUUCGCCUCCUAAGCGAAGGGUCGGAGGUUCAAAUCCUCUUGUCGACG